CAGCCAUGUGCUCGCGUAUCAUUUUACUCUGAAAUAACUCUGCGGAUUUCAGCUCAACCUGCCUUUGCUUAUAAUGCAUGACAUAGCCUGUGAGGGAGCCUGAGAACCGUCCCUCUUCAAAAGCAAGGUUCCCAUGCUUGGCCUGUAACCAUGGAAGCAGAUGCCUUUUUUGCUUACCCCUGCUUACCUCUUUGCAGCCACGAGCUGCUCCCUAUUGUUAAAAGGGGUACGCCUUGAUUUUUCUUCGUCGUGACCGAACUUGCCUCUUCUUCAAAGGGCAUGAUGCUGCAGGUCAUUGGUCUAGACUGUUUGCACGGUCCAGAGAACAGCCUUGAUGUAACCCUUGCUCCGUCUGUGCCACACCACCAGCCGCGCGACUGCAGACUGUAGGGGGACAUCGGAGAUCUGUAUUUGAAAAGAAGUCCGUCCGAUUUUGCCAUUGUGCCUUUUCAGUCAUCGAUCGAAUGAAUAUCGAACCUUCUGUCGUUGCAUGUGUGAAAUAGAUAGCUUAGCAAGCACUUUUGUGCCCAGACCUGUGCAGUGGGCCAAACUCUUCUCCUUUAUUCACAAAUAUUUUUUUUUGCAAUAUAGUAAUUUCUUAGGUACUUUAAAUACCAGCAUCCUAACGUUGGACCAGCCUCAGAAAAGAGCUUUGUUUUUUAUUCUUUUUUGCUGUAAUCUGCUUGAUGGAGCCGCUACUUAUUUGGGGUUUUAUUUUUCUUUUAAGUUCUUUCUCUUUUACCCAUUCCCAGUUGAACAUCAGCCCCCCUAGAAGUGCAAAGGAGGUUGGUUUUGCCCCAGAAUUGUGAGAGUUUUCAAAGCAAAAUACUGAUUGGAGGUUUGAGGCUUUAAAAAUAACAGAGGGAAAGAAAAAAGAAGAAGGAGGGGGGGGGGGGGGACGACUUGGAAAGCUUCCAACAUAUAUCCAAUAUGUAAGAAAUCCAGAAGAUACGGUAAAUUUUAAAAAGAUUAUAAAUAAAAUAAGUAGCUGUAAGAAAAGACAGGCAUUAUAAUAGAUAAAUGACCUGGAAGCAGUGGCUUAAAACCUAAAAGAAUCACAUCUUAUUUCUUUCCUAGAUAUACUAAUAUACUGGAUGUACUCCAUAUAUUACUAUACUAAGACAAGUAACUUGGAAAAUUAAGAUCUGAUAGUAUGAGAACUCUAAAACACUUCUCACUCUUCUGUACUAUUGUACAAAUAUUUUAAGUAGUGACAUGCCAGCUUACUUUCUUUUUUUUUAUUUUUAAGGGCUAAUUUAAUUUUAAAAAAAUUGUAUCGAUAGACGUCCAAAACCCAACAAGAAAUUCUGAAAAUCUUGCUAAGUCAGUGAGAAAAUGCAGCUGAAGUGCUCAACCAAAGAGUUCAACAGGACUCCAGGAACUGCAGGGUUGGGGGAGAUGCUCUAAUACCUUAGAACAGAAGAGCCAGAAAUGUAUGGAAAAUGAUACAUUCUUGAAAUCAAUCGGUAAGCAAGUUUUUCCUCUUCUUUUAAUAGAACGGCAAACUCUCUGACCGCUGCCUGUCAAAAAACAAUAACCCAGUGACAGCCAUCAGCACCUACUCAUUGAAAAAUAUGCCCGUCUCUACUCUGUUCUAAUAAAAUGCGGAUUGCAUCAAAAAGGGAAUAUUCUUCAGGGUGUUGCUUACCCAGUGUUGUCUGUAUAUGACAUCAGUAUAUAUAUUUUUGAGAUACUACUAUCUCGUACUUCAAGGCAUACCUAUUUUCUCUAAUUGCCAGAGGCUAAGGGGAGGUGCACUAAAGAAUAAAGAAGGUUAUUGUGACAGAUGAAACAUAAUUCACAAUGAGUACUCUUUUCAUCCAGCCUUAAGUAGCAGAGGAUUACUCCGAGCUGAAUUUUAGGGGAGUAUGUAUGAUCUGAUUUAAUAAUAUGAGGACAGGCCACAAGCUGGAAGGCAAUAUAAACCAAUUAUGCUUUUGCUGAAUGUUUGGGGGGUUUUGUUGUUGUUUUUGGUGUUUUUUUUCCCUCUUCUUUUCUGGAAGGUGAAGAAAUGUUAACGUGAAGAGUGUCUGAAGAAACACGAGGAAAAGUAAGAAGUGCCGAGAAAUAAAAGUUGGGAUUUUCUGGAAUGGAUAUUGAUAAAUGAUUAUUCUAUAUUUCUGCUUCAUGACACUUAAAUGAAAUAAGACCAUGCAAUUUCUUCAGUAAACAUGCGCUGUGAAAGUAGGUAAACUAAUUUUGAUACACUUACUGAACUUGUAUUGCUUCCGAGAAAUUCAUACAUGAGUCUUCUAAAAAUGCUGUACAAUAUCAAGUUUAGAUGUAGAUAAGUGUGACAGUAAAAUAACUUUCUGCUAAAUGUGUACACUGCUUUUCUGAUUCAUUGCUUUAAUAUUUAAACAGUAAAGAGAGAAGAAAGAAGAAAGAGCUCUUCCCUUUCCCUUCAGGCAGCUUUGAUUUUAAGCAAAUCUUCAUGCGCAGACAUGAGUCUCCUGCCCUUGGAAGAAGAAAGUGGGAAGCAGCAAAAAGAGACUGUGUGUAGGCAGAGGAGAAGCAGACAAAAUGAGUCAGGCUGCCAGACUGCCAAGACCUUCUUGGAACAAAUGAUGAGGAAACCUGCACUAAGAACAGUAGAAGAAAGCUAUUAGAAGGUUAAAACACACCCAGAACCUAAGUAUUAUGAAUUUAUGGCAAUUGGUGCAACUCUGAAGUGAGAAAGGUGCUGCUGACAGGCUAUUAUAGAGGGCAAACUGGGGCAGAAGACAAAGAAAGGUCUCUUGAAACAUGGUAUUAAAAAGGAGCAGGCACUGAAGUUGGUGUAGGUGCAGAUUUUAAAACAUCCAAAUUUACAGUGGGUUGCCAGUGGCCUAUGUUACCAUUUGGUGAUCUCCAACAAAGACCAAGAACAAAGACAAGAGGGUACAAAUACAACCAGUGCAAGCCAAACCCAGAAGAAAACGGGGGGUGGCCACCUCUCACAGAGGUGGAAUCAUAUUGACCAGCAUCCUGCCUCUUCAAGUAGAAGCACUUUGCACACUUACCUCUAUAUAUACAUAUAAGAUAAUAUAUACAUAAAAGAUUAAGGGUAUGUCUGUCAUUUAACUAGCUAUACAACCUGCUGAAACAAAGAUAUUCAAGCUGCAAAACCCAAGGAUGUAAGUCCAAAUUGUGGUUAUGGUCAGAAAGCAACCUAGUCCACAAAUUACUUCAUGAAAAAGAGCUGCUAAAACUGAACUAAGUUUUUUGCUGUUGUCAGAGGAUAGCCCACUGCUGAGACAGCCUUCAGAAUGCUGCUGCACUUCUGCUAUAAUGGAUUUUAAGUUUAUGAUGCACUCUCAAAAUCAUUUCAGUAGAACCGAAGACUAUCAAAUGAUUUCAUAAUCAAUUAACACUACAGCUUAAUUCCCAGUCUGCUACA
rnacentral:lncRNA from 1 species